AUGCACGCUGGCGGCGUGCCUAAUACAUGCAAGUCGAGCGAACAGACGAGGAGCUUGCUCCUCUGACGUUAGCGGCGGACGGGUGAGUAACACGUGGAUAACCUACCUAUAAGACUGGGAUAACUUCGGGAAACCGGAGCUAAUACCGGAUAAUAUAUUGAACCGCAUGGUUCAAUAGUGAAAGACGGUUUUGCUGUCACUUAUAGAUGGAUCCGCGCCGCAUUAGCUAGUUGGUAAGGUAACGGCUUACCAAGGCAACGAUGCGUAGCCGACCUGAGAGGGUGAUCGGCCACACUGGAACUGAGACACGGUCCAGACUCCUACGGGAGGCAGCAGUAGGGAAUCUUCCGCAAUGGGCGAAAGCCUGACGGAGCAACGCCGCGUGAGUGAUGAAGGUCUUUGGAUCGUAAAACUCUGUUAUUAGGGAAGAACAAAUGUGUAAGUAACUAUGCACGUCUUGACGGUACCUAAUCAGAAAGCCACGGCUAACUACGUG
rnacentral:rRNA from 1 species